UACGGAGGGAGCUAGCGUUGUUCGGAAUUACUGGGCGUAAAGCGUGCGUAGGCGGUUAUUCAAGUCAGAGGUGAAAGCCCGGGGCUCAACCCCGGAACUGCCUUUGAAACUAGAUAGCUAGAAUCUUGGAGAGGUCAGUGGAAUUCCGAGUGUAGAGGUGAAAUUCGUAGAUAUUCGGAAGAACACCAGUGGCGAAGGCGACUGACUGGACAAGCAUUGACGCUGAGGCACGAAAGCGUGGGGAGCAAACAGG
rnacentral:rRNA from 1 species